GUAUUUCCUGGGAAGGACUUUUGACGCUGGCGGAGUACUGGCUUCAGGCAGUAUAAAUUGCUGCAGUUACACGUUAGAUACUUAGUGGAGGAGAAAUGCCGAAAACGCGUUCAGAACUGCAUGUUCAAAAACAGAGUUGGUGGAAAAGCUCAGGUAUUAAUUGAGAAUAAUUUGCAGACCAGGAUCCAUGCAAGUUCUCCAUUAAGCAGAGUGAUCAGGAUCUGAGUAUCAUUGACACUUAAAUGCGAAAGGGAAGAGGUUUAACCAUUCUAUCCAUGGGAGAAUAUUCCUGGCAAACGCUGACUGUUUUCCUUCCCUGAAGGACAUUAAAUGAACCGGUUCAGUUUUACUGAUAAUCCAGCAGUGCCCCUCGGUGUUGGAUCCACAAUUGACCAGAUUAAUUUCAGAGUUUCACAAUCUUUGUGUGUAUUCUUCUGGUUUCUCUCUCUCUACUUUUCUGUUUGAAAUUUUGAUUGCAUUCAGAGAAAUCAAACAAAACCACAUCCAGAUCUGACACUCAAUCUGUUUGUCAUAACCUAAUUAUCUCAGGAUUUUGAACAUUGAAGGAAGAAGCACUGUUCACCAGGGAGAAAUGCGUAUUGUCUGUGUGCCGAAGAGUCUGUGAAGAUUCAUCUGAAAUGUCCAAACACCAGCGCAGUCACACUGGGGAGAGACUGUGGAAAUGUGGGGAUUGUGGGAAAGGAUUUAUUUACCCAUCCCAGCUGGAAAUGCACCAACGCAGUCACACUGGGGAGAAACCGUUCAU